ensembl:snoRNA
CUGCACUGAUGAUCUCAGAUUUGUCUGACUUGGUAUUGUUGCCCUACGGGUCAAUUCUGACCAGGAAAUGACCUCCAUUUAAUCUUCUCUCUGAGCAG